rnacentral:ribozyme from 13 species
CUUUCUUUCUCUUUUUCUUUUCCUUUCUCUCUUUCUUCUCUCUCUUGGCAUCCGUUUGGGGUGGAGUAAGAGGAAGAGGAGAGAGAGGAGAGGAGAGAGGAGAAGGGGGUUUCUGGGGAUGUUGAUUCUUUUGUUGUGAAU